rnacentral:sRNA from 1 species
UUUUUUCAUGUGUUCAAGCUCGUUAAGACUAGAUGGGGUAUACCAACGUAGCGGAUGGGACCUACGGCGAAUGGUUCCUAGAAU